GACGAACGCUGGCGGCGUGCUUAACACAUGCAAGUCGAGCGGUAAGGCCCUUCGGGGUACGACGAGCGGCGAACGGGUGGAGUAACACGUGGGUGGACCUGCCCUCAGCUCUGGGAUAAGACCUGGGAAACCGGGUCUAAUACCGGAUAUGACUCCAUGACGCAUGUUGUGGGGUGGAAAGCCUUGUGCGGCUGAGGAUGGGCCGCGGCCUAUCAGCUUGUUGGUGGGGUGAUGGCCUACCAAGGCGACGACGGGUAGCCGGCCUGAGAGGGCGACCGGCCACACUGGGACUGAGACACGGGCCCAGACUCCUACGGGAGGCAGCAGUGGGGAAUCUUGCGCAAUGGGCGAAAGCCUGACGCAGCGACGCCGCGUGAGGGAUGACGGCC
rnacentral:rRNA from 1 species